rnacentral:rRNA from 1 species
UACGGGAGGGGGUUAGCGUUGUUCGGAAUGACUGGGCGUAAAGCGCACGCAGGCGGAUUGAUAAGUCAGGGGUGAAAUCCCGGAGCUCAACUUCGGAAUUGCCUUUGAUACUGUCAAUCUCGAGUCCGGGAGAGGUGAGUGGAAUUCCUAGUGUAGAGGUGAAAUUCGUAGAUAUUAGGAAGAACACCAGUGGCGAAGGCGGCUCACUGGCCCGGUACUGACGCUCAUGUGCGAAAGCGUGGGGAGCAAACAGG